rnacentral:rRNA from 1 species
UACAGAGGUGGCAAGCGUUGUUCGGAAUUACUGGGCGUAAAGGGCGCGUGGGCGGUUCGUCAAGUCCUGUGUGAAAUCCCCCGGCUCAACUGGGGAACUGCACAGGAAACUAGCGGGCUUGAGUUCGGGAGAGGGAAGCGGAAUUCCGGGUGUAGCGAUGAAAUGCGUAGAUAUCCGGAGGAACACCGGUGGCGAAGGCGGCUUCCUGGACCGACACUGACGCUGAGGCGCGAAAGCUAGGGGAGCAAACGGG